AGAGGAGGGGCUUCCAGGUUUCUGUAGGCUAGGAGAGAAGACGGACAUACUUGGUGGGGACAGAUGGAGCAGACUCAAGAGCUAUAGGGAAGAUCUGCCAAAAUGCAACUGAGAAGCGGAACGAUCCGGUGAAAGAUUGCUGUCUGUGCAGCUGCUGUUUCGAAAUGGGCCUCACCAUGCAGCCCAGGCUGACCCGAAGCUGGCGACCGUCCAGCCUCAGACUUCCGAGGAAUUGAAUUAGAGGUGUGCCCUGACACGUCUGGAUUGAAAGGUUGCUGUUAAUAGGUAAAUGGUGGUGGAGACUCUUGUAGUGUAUUUCCUCCUGACUACAAAGACCCCUGUUGAAAUCUCCCAAGUGCCUGGUGGAAUGCAGAUCCGAGUGCUGUGGAUUGUCUGAAGAGGAGGAACACACUCCUGUUCCCUCUCUUCCUAAUUUUUUCUGGAUGGCACGCUUACCACGCUUUUAAUUAAAACCUUUUCCACAAAAAGUACAAUUUUCCUAGACCUUGGACUUCUUGACACGGCAUUGGAUUUCAGUUCUACUUCUUAGAGACUAUAAAACUUAAUUACUUAUUUCAGACUUGAUGGUACCAGAUUUCCCCACUGCCAUUCACAGACGGUCUCCCAGAAUGAUUCAUGUAGGUAUCAAUUACCACACUGAUUUCUUUUCUUUGAGGUCAUUUUUUCCCCCAGUGUUCUAGAGUGGCCUUACUUUGACCCAAGCAACAGUCUGAGAACACAGGAAGCAUGCCAACUGAAUUCCAGAAGCAACUCCAAGGCAUUCUCUCCUCUUUUCAGUCUGAAAAAUGAGCUUGCAUCAGGAAGAAACAGGGAGGGCGAACGCGACCUAAGAGCGAGCUAAUAAAUUACGUUCCUUGUUGAUUCAGCUAAUUGGAAAUUUAGCCCAGGGUUGAUUGCAUUCCACACCCAAGCCUGCAGCGCUGGCGCACAUUGUCGGGGUGCCGCUACAGCUGUCAGGGUAAAAGGAUUUGCUUAAAUAUGCUCUCGUUGGCACUGCCAGCAUAAAAACCAAGGGUAAAGUCACACGGAUAGAUAAUGAGCCCUUUAUCAAAGAAACUGUGUUGGACAAUGUCACCGCUCAGAGACUUUGCUAAAAGAAACCCCAGUCUUUGUUCCCUCCAUUGAAUGAGCCCCAGAACUGUUGGAACUGCUGACACAACCUAGUCCGGAGUGCUCACUCGGGAUGCAGGAAGCACAUGACCCAGCCUCCUCCAUCUAACUCCAGUCGCAUAGCCUUUUCUCCGGUCCCACCAUGAUGUGCAUGUUACGAAAAUGCUUCUGGCCAGAAAAACACAGGAGUGAAGUGUUGAGCCCAAGCCGGUCUGCUGCAGACAAGGAUCUGUAUACCACACCGCGUAGAGUGACUCAGGUCCAUACCUGCUCUUUUACUGUUUGCAGCUCUGGACAUCAAGCUCAGACUCCCAAGUGAGACGAGUGCUCUCCAGCUUAGCUGUACUUCCAGAUCUGACCUAAUCUGAUGGCUGCUUUCAUGAAGUGAGCGUGGGGGGGGCACAACUGUUUUGGUGGACACCACCGAAACCCACCUGUAUGGCUCACAACGCUCAAGAUGGAUGCUGUUUGGCUGUUUUCAGGAUGGGCCAUUGACUCUUGUAAUUUUUGCCCCUCUGUCACCUUGCAAACAGACAAGUACAUAUGAGGGCUAUUUUCCUCUGUUUUUUACAUUUAUUUAUUU
rnacentral:sRNA from 1 species